UACGUAGGGUGCGAGCGUUGUCCGGAAUUAUUGGGCGUAAAGAGCGUGUAGGCGGCCAGGUAGGUCUGCUGUGAAAACUCGAGGCUUAACCUCGAGAUGUCGGCGGAAACCAUCUGGCUAGAGUCCGGAAGAGGAGAGUGGAAUUCCUGGUGUAGCGGUGAAAUGCGCAGAUAUCAGGAAGAACACCCGUGGCGAAGGCGGCUCACUGGCCCGGAACUGACGCUGAGACGCGAAAGCGUGGGGAGCAAACAGG
rnacentral:rRNA from 1 species